UACGGAGGGAGCUAGCGUUGUUCGGAAUUACUGGGCGUAAAGCGCGCGUAGGCGGCUUUGUAAGUUAGAGGUGAAAGCCCGGGGCUCAACCCCGGAACUGCCUUUAAGACUGCAUCGCUUGAAUCCGGGAGAGGUGAGUGGAAUUCCGAGUGUAGAGGUGAAAUUCGUAGAUAUUAGGAAGAACACCAGUGGCGAAGGCGGCUCACUGGUCCGGUACUGACGCUGAGGUGCGAAAGCGUGGGGAGCAAACAGG
rnacentral:rRNA from 1 species